ACGAACACACUGUGAAAGACUGCCCUUCCCUCCUAAAACAAAACAAGGUGGGAACAACUUCGUCUUCACGCCACAGCGAUAAUUGAUUCUGGUGCCACGGCUUCCUAUAUAGAUAAGGAAUUUUGCACUGUAAAUAAAAUACCACUGAUGCAGAAA